rnacentral:ncRNA from 2 species
UACUUGGUUGAUCCUGCCAAGGAAGCACACUUAGGUCAUAGAUUAAGCCAUGCAAGUGUUAGUUCAGGUAACGAAACUGCGAAUAGCUCAUUAAUACGCUCAGAAUCUAUUUGGCGGCGACCAACAGGUCUUAAAUGGAUAGCAGCAGCAACUCUGGUGCUAAUACAUGCGAUUGUUUCUCCAGAUGUGAAUUAUGGAGGAAAAGUUGACCUCAUCAGAGGCACGCCAUUCGACUGAGUGACCUAUCAGCUUGUACUUAGGGUCUUUACCUAGGUAGGCUAUCACGGGUAACGGGCGGUUACCGUCGGACUGCCGGAGAAGGCGCCUGAGAGAUAGCGACUAUAUCCACGGGUAGCAGCAGGCGCGAAACUUUCCCACUCGAGACUUUCGGAGGAGGUAAUGACCAGUUCCAUUGGUGCCUUUUGGUACUGUGGAUAGGGGUACGGUUUUCCACCGUACCGAAACCUAGCAGAGGGCCAGUCUGGUGCCAGCAGCUGCGGUAAUUCCAGCUCUGCGAGUUUGCUCCCAUAUUGUUGCAGUUAAAACGCCCGUAGUCUGAAUUGGCCAGCAAUGGUCGUACGUAUUUUUACGUUCACUGUGAACAAAUCAGGACGCUUAGAGUAUGGCCACAUGAAUGACUCAGCGCAGUAUGAAGUCUUUGUUUUCUUCCGAAACAAGCUCAAUGAGAGCCAUCGGGGGUAGAUCUAUCUCAUGACGAGUGGUGGAAUACUUUGACUCAUGAGAGAGAAGCUGAGGCG